rnacentral:ncRNA from 1 species
AGUCGAUCCUAAGAGAUAGGAGAAAUCCGUUUGAAAGCGAGUUGUUUGAGGCAGGGGUUUUCUUCUGUUUUGUAUGCAACUCCGUUUAUCGAAAGGGAAUCAGAUUAAUAUUUCUGAACCGAGACGUGGAUAAUGUGUGGCAACACAAUCGAUCCAGGAGACGUUGGCGUGAACCCGGGGAAGAGUUCUCUUUUCUUUUUAACAUGCAAUUCCUACCUUGGAAACGGAUUAUCCGGCG